CAGCCAUGUCUGAGGAUUUUGCGGAUGGGGAAGAUGAGGAGGAGGAGGAGGCCGAUGAGCUUGCAGAGAGCACACAGCACUGCAUUCUCCCCAACAGUCAGGAUCUCUUUCUCAGUCUGACUGAAGUACCCUCCCAAGGCAUUAUCCUAGACCAUGAAGCCAUGGAAGUGACCUCUGCUGCAAAUUUUUCAAGACUCCCUCCUCUGUCCCGAAGGCUAUCUUAGAUAAGGCAGUGG